rfam:Hordeum vulgare subsp. vulgare, WGS project CAJW01000000 data, contig: morex_contig_9229
AAUCUACUCCCUUCGUCCGAAAUUACUUGUCAUAGAAAUGAAUGUAUCUAGAUGUAUUUUAGUUUUACAUUCAUCCAUUUUUGUUCAUUUUGGCGACAAAUAAUUCUGAACGGAGGAAGUAUUUC